AAAUCUACGCCUUCUAGAGGUAUUUCAUUGAUAAUUUUUGAACACCACGUGGUUAUUUUUAGAAGAAAAAAACAGUGUACUGUUCAUUUCGCCGUUGUCUACCGGAUCAACGGUCCCCACCACUCCACCGUUUGCCACGUGUGCGACGAGGAGCUGCCCAGUUCUUUGAAAGCUGCAUACUAGCAUUUUUCACCUGUUCUCUCUUCAAGACUUCCAACAACCACAGCUGAAGAGGGAGAGGGAGGGAGAGAGAGGGAGAGGAGAAACGCCCUGAUUUUGCUCUCAUGUCGAUUUCAAAGCUCUUGAUUUUCUCAAUCUUUUUCUCUCUAUUCUUCCUGAAAAUCAGAGCAUCUUCAUUGAUCGAGGAUGACAGUUACCCAUCCGACUCAGAUUCAUCUCUCGAGGACGAAAUUCUCUCAUCCGAUGGCUCAGAUUCGUCGCUGAGGCUCGAAUUGGAGCAGCUCAAAUCCAGGAUCUCUGAUCUAGGAUCUGGUAUCAAGGAUAGUACCCGAGAAUUGGAGAGCAAGGAUGAGAGCAUUGCAAAGAUGGAAAAGAUCAUUCAAGAGAAAUCAUAUAGCAUUGCAUCGUUACAGGGCGAGAUAGAAUCACUUGAGAGAAAAGGGAGUGUGGAUGCUCAAGAGAAGGUGGGAAGGGCUCAUGCACGAGCUGCUGAACUUGAGAAGCAGGUCCAGAAACUUCAAAAUGAAAUAGAAACACAAAAUAAGAGGAGGGAGGCUUUAGAAGUUAGAACAGGUGAAAUUGAGAAGAAAAGGCAGGAACUGAAUUUGAAAUUAGAUAAGCUCCAAAAGAUUAAUGAUGAACAGAAGAAUCGAAUUCGUAAAACUGAACAUGCUCUUCAAGUUGCAGAGGAAGAGAUGGUGAAGGCCAAAUUAGAAGCUACGUUGAAGGCUAAAGAGUUUAUGGAGAUUCAAGGUGCAUGGCUACCACCUUGGCUUGCAACUCAUUUAAUCCACAUGCAGUUUUUUGCAGAAAAAGAGUGGAAUGAGCAUGGGAAACCUGCCUUGGCCAUUGUGAUGCAAAAGGCUUCAGAAAAAUCUUCACAGGCCCAGAAAUGGGCUGAACCCCACCUAGAAACAGUUAAAACUAGAUGGGUCCCUGUUUUAAAGGAACAAUGGUUGGCUUUUACAACCUUUGUUGGACCGCAUGUGGAAUCAGUAACUAUCAAGACUGUUGAGGUUUAUGAAGCAUCGAAGAGCACUCUUACGCCACAUAUUGUUAAAGUUCAAGAACUGGCAAAUCCAUACUUGCAGGAAGCUAGGAAAUUCUCUAAGCCCUACAUCGAUCACAUCGCUACCAUUACAAAGCCUCAUGUCGAUAAAGUAAGGGUUACUUUGAAGCCUUACACCAAUCAAGUAGUUUCUGCUUCUCAAAAGUUUCUUAAAUCAGCGAAAGUGUACCAUUAUCAGGUCCAGGCAACUGUCCAGGAUACUCUGAAGAAACAUGAGCUAACAGAACCUCUAGCAACUACAGAACUAGUAUGGUUUAUGGCCUCUGCUUUAUUGGCUCUACCCAUUGUCUUUCUUUAUAGGGUGUUAUCAGCCAUUUUCUGUAAAAAGCCAGGGAAACCUACCCAGAAUGCCCAUGUGAAUCAUGCACCUCGCAGGCACAAGCGCAGGCAUGCUGACAAGUAGAGUGCCUUGACGUAUUUGGAUUUAGGCUUUGUUGUAUUUAAAUUGAAGGUGUCAUAUGAGCCUAUGCAGUGACCUCCCUCAUGGUGCGAUCAUGACUGUUGAGCUGGGAUUACUCUUUCUCUGGAGAGGGAGAUUGCGUGCUUGCUUGUGUCAAGAUGUACUUCCAGAGAUGCGAUAAUUCAGGUUUGUGGUAGAAUCAGAUAGUGGGUGUUGCUUUUCAGCCUAGUUCUUAGUGCAUGUAGGCCCCGCAUGUGGGGCCCACACACUCAUAAUACCAACAGUGGGUUUUGAAUUGGAACCCUUUAAAAAGAAAGAAAAAAACAAAGCUUGAUAUUCCCACACAAACAGACUUUACAGUUGAAACUGAGCUUGUUUCCUAGAGAUGUAAGCUCUCUCAGUCGGAGAAUGCCCUAUCGCUCGCCCUGAUGUUAUCUUUCAUUUACUAGGACGGAAUGCGGUAGUUAUUUGUCGAAUAUUCACUCUUUUGUAGGAUUUCAUUUGUUCAUUAUUCAUUCGAAAUUCUUCUGGUUUGUGUACCAAAAAUAGAUGAUACAAUGGCCAUAGUGUUUGUGAUGAGGAAUCA